rnacentral:tRNA from 1 species
UCCCUUUUAGCUCAGUUGGUAAAGAAUCUGCCUGCAAUGUAGGAGACCUGGCUUCCAUUCCUGGAUGGGGAA